AAAGCCGUGUGAGCAGCAACAUAUCAGACAGUGGACAGACUCUUGGCAUUGUGAGGUUAGCAGCAAAUUUAAGUCCUAUACGUUCUCACAGUAGCUCACCAUGGCACACGAAUUGGAGUCUGAAUACGCCAACAUACAUGCGCUUCAGGGAACUGAAACAAACAGCACUGAGCAGUCGGGUGCAGGUGCGACACCCACAGAGAGGAGACUUUUCAGGAUUGGGAUUUUAACUUUAGCAGUGUUGUGCAUCGUACAAGCCAGUCUCAAUAUCUCCCUGGGCCUCGCCUUUUAUUCAAAAGAAGAUACUGAUCACUUCCCUUUCAGCUCUGUAAUAGCAGACGUGUGCCAGAUUGACCAGACUCAACAGAAUUCAACCCAGUCAUGUUCCUGCUACAAGAACCUGCUGAGAAGGCGUUUUAUUGAAUAUAAGGCUCUGGAAACAGAGAGAGACAUCUUACGCAACAAGGUUAUUCAACUUACAGGAGAGUGUGAAUAUUGCCAGGAGUCCGGGUCUGGUUCCCUGAAGGAAUUCAGUUGAUGUCGGCAAACGUUGCUUUUCAGUGGAGACCACAGAAGUAUGAGUAUAGACUUCAAAUACAGUGGAAACUGCUUCUAGUGUUCUACCGCUUAUAUGAGACAUGUCAAACUUAAGGCUCGCAGUACAAUUAUAUCCAGCCUGCGAUAUUAUGAAUAUUAUCCAAUACGUCUAUCCUGUUCAAUAAAUGUUGACCCUGUUUGGCCCUCGAUGUGGUCCUAGUUUUUAAUCGUGGCCCUCUCUGUUAUUGAGUUUGACACCCCUGGUUUAUAUGGGAC
rnacentral:lncRNA from 1 species